GAUUUCAACUGAAAAAGUUAUCAACAACAAAGUUGAAUAACUCAUCAAGAUCUAAAACUUUUNUUUUGGUNAUUUCUUCAUCUGAUAAAAUGUUANUAACAUUGUUCACAAAUUUUACAUAUAUGUGUUAUAGUUUAUAAAACCAGAUAAGAGAUAUGUAAAUUUUGUGAAUUUUGUGAACAAUAUUACUAUCACUUUAUCAGAUGAAGAAAUGACCAAAAUAAAAUUCUUAGAUCUUGAUGAGUUGUUCAACUUUGUUGUUGAUAACUUUUUCAGUUGAAAUC
rnacentral:pre_miRNA from 1 species